GGCCCCGUAGUUCAACGGAUAGAAUGCAAGAUUGCGGAUCUUGUGAUCCAAGUUCGAUUCUUGGCGGGGUCACCA
rnacentral:tRNA from 2 species